UACGGAGGGUGCAAGCGUUAUCCGGAUUCACUGGGUUUAAAGGGUGCGUAGGCGGACAGGUAAGUCAGUGGUGAAAUCUCUGGGCUUAACUCAGAAACUGCCGUUGAUACUAUUUGUCUUGAAUAUUCUGGAGGUAAGCGGAAUAUGUCAUGUAGCGGUGAAAUGCUUAGAUAUGACAUAGAACACCGAUAGCGAAGGCAGCUUACUACAGAAUGAUUGACGCUGAGGCACGAAGGCGUGGGGAGCAAACAGG
rnacentral:rRNA from 1 species